UUAAAAAACACAGUAAGAGAACCAAAAAAGUGUCACUGUGGCUUAACACUGUGGUAGAAUAGUAUGGGUGCUGGGUAUUGUAGGCAGAGGGAGCUGAGCAGCCCAAACAGCCUAUGGUGGCCCCUUCCCCAGGCCAGUCUACUACCCACAGGGAAUUGGGUUUGGACAUGUUGCUUGCCCAGUGCUAUGGGGUCCAGAGCCCUGGGGCUGUGAGCACAGUGGCCUUGCCACCCAGGGGUUGUGGCACAUCAGGGCUGGGGCCUUGCCUCCCUCCCCCCAGUUGAGAAGUGCUGGGUCAUGGGCCACAGUGGGUAUGCUUUGAGAUCGUGCAAGGCUGAGGGGGUAGAAGAGAAGGCACGAGGGGAGCCAGGCUGCCUGUGAUGCCACGUAUAAGGGCUGUAGCCAUGUAAAAGGACUAUAAAAGCUCUGCAGCUCAGUGAGGGAUCAUUUAGACAUAUUCUUUGUGAGUAUGUCUCUGUGGUUAUGUUAAAAACUUGUGGCUGGUUUGUGACAUCAUACUUGGGCUUGCAAGGCUCAGGACAAGGGGCUGUUUAAUGCAGAAACCUGCACUCUAGUACCUUCAUAGGUGGAAAGCUUGCCGAGCUCAGCAGCAGCUUAGCCCAAAUAUCUACCCAAGCCCCUUAACGUGAGUCAGCUGGCAAAGGGAAACUGUGGGUUUUAAUUGCAGUUUAGACAUACUCUAAGAAUGUAAGACAGUAGAGCUAAGGGAGGAUGUCAUAACAUCAGCUCCCAGAGGUGCAUCACAGAAUACCAUUCUUAAUGGGUAAAUUUUUUAAAAUCGUUUAAGUUCCAUGUUUGAAGGACAUAGGCUCACUUUAGGCACUUUUGAAAAUUUUUCUCAGUGCCUCAACCAUAAAGAUUCUCCUAGACUUCAAAAUCUUCAUCAGUUGCCUAACACAAAACAGAGAAUAACCCACACAAACACUUAAACCACAAAUACUUUCUCCCGGCCCUUACAUAAAAAACAGUACAAAACCAGGUAUAGCAAUCACAGUCCAAAAUACGUGAUUUAGUCCAACUUGGUCAUAGCAUUACUGAGCUGAAAAUGACAGUGAUUAGUCACUUAGAACAUUAAAGAUCUUUCUUCUCUCCUCUUCAGCAUUAUAGAAUGUAGGUGACCUUGGGAAAUGUUUCUUUUUGGAUGCAACAGUUCUAUUUCAAAGAACCUUUAAGCAUUUUUAUUUGCCAUCUGUUUGUUUUUACACUUUUGGACUGAGAAGCCAAGAAGGAGAUCAUGAUGAAUGUUUAUGCAAACCAGAAUGAGAUGCAGAGAAUUUGCUGAUUUGGGUGGAAACAACUGCUGAGUCUGUAGGACCAAUGCUUGGCCUUCUGAGUAGGAGAGUGUUUUUUCUGUCCCUAAUCACCUGUCAGCACAGCUGAAUUACUACAAGACUUCUGCCACAGUGAACAUGUUGGAGGCACAAGAAUGCUGAAUUAAGAUUGGACAAGCAACAACAAAGCUGGGAAUUCUUAUCUCUUCAGUGUUCAACUUUGCAAUGUACUUUUAAUAUUAGAAUAUGAAUAGACUCCAUCAUGAGUGAGGAUAAAUUAAAGGAGAAAUUGAUUAUUUUAUUAUGAGAAACAUCAUAAGGGAAGAAAUAAUACUUUCCUCACAGGAAGGAAAAUCACAGACUCUUCAGAUCCUUGGGCAGAGUCCUGUUUGUGUGGAAAUGAGCUUUUUUCUGUAA